CAGGAACAGAGAAGGAGCAAUUAAAAACCAAGUUAUCUUGAACUUUCUGACUUACCAUAAUACACUGGAGUAGUGAUGGACUGUGUAAUUUUUUCCUGCUGUGAGUUGCUUCAGGUGAAAGCAGUUGAAAGACAGAAAGAGUAGUUUUUCUUCCCAAAGCUAUAAAAACAAGUGAAUGUUACAGGUAUAGCUUCAGCUUGGGAGAUCCUGGAAUCCCUGUGUCUUCUGGACACUGUCAUGCUCUUCUGUAUGCUGGCAGCAAAUUGUGCUCCAAGUGCAACCUGUCUACUUUGUUUGCCUGUCACUGCAGCUGUAGCUGUCUGCCAAGCUAACUGGAUCUUCUGCUCCCAAAGACUUGUGCAAGCAGGAGACCACAGGCACUCAUGUUCUUCAUUCAGGAAGCUCCACUUAUUUCUCAUUUGUUUGGCUGAAUCAAUAAGCAGUAAUUGCUGGGAUUUUUGUAGAUCCAAGGCCUCAACUUGCCCUCACUUAGAAGGUUUACUUUAAAGAGUUUUAGUAAAAUUCCUAAAAUUUUAUCUGCUUCAUUCUACAGAGUAAAGAGAUACAAAGAAGGGGGACUAAGAAAUAAUAAAAAAAACCUGUCAAUAAAAUUCUGCUUUUGA
rnacentral:lncRNA from 1 species